GACCCCAGGUCAGGCGGGACUACCCGCUGAGUUAAGC
rnacentral:rRNA from 1 species